rnacentral:rRNA from 1 species
CCUACGGGAGGCAGCAGUGGGGAAUAUUGCGCAAUGGGCGAAAGCCUGACGCAGCGACGCCGCGUGAGGGAUGAAGGUCUUCGGAUCGUAAACCUCUGUCAGCAGGGAAGAACGGUCACUGUGCUAAUCAGCAGUGAAUUGACGGUACCUGCAAAGGAAGCACCGGCUAACGCCGUGCCAGCAGCCGCGGUAAUACGUAGGGGGCAAGCGUUAUCCGGAUUUACGGGGUGUAAAGGUAGCGUAGACGGCAGGGCAAGUCUGGAGUGAAAGGCGGGGGGUCAACCCCCGGACUGAUCUGGACACUGGCAGGCUGGAGUGCAGGAGAGGUAAGUGGAAUUCCUGGUGUAGCGGUGAAAUGCGUAGAUAGUAGGAAGAACACCAGUGGCGAAGGCAGCUUACUGGACUGUAACUGACGUUGAGGCUCGAAAGCGUGGGUAGCAAACAGGAUUAGAUACCCUUGUAGUC